GCGGAGGUAGCGAAGUGGUCAAACGCGCUGGACUCAAGAUCCAGUCCCUUAGUGGGUUCGGCGGUUCGAAUCCGCCCCUCCGCA
rnacentral:tRNA from 1 species